UACGAGGGAUCCUAGCGUUGUUCGGAAUCAUUGGGCGUAAAGAGUUCGUAGGCGGCGCAGAAAGUAGGGUGUGAAAGCCCUCGGCUUAACCGAGGAAUUGCGCCCUAAACUACUGUGCUUGAGGAACCUAGAGGUGAGCAGAACAGAUGGUGGAGCGGUGAAAUGCGUCGAUAUCAUCUGGAAUACCGGAGGCGAAGGCGGCUCACUGGGGGUUUUCUGACGCUGAGGAACGAAAGCCAGGGUAGCGAACGGG
rnacentral:rRNA from 1 species